rnacentral:rRNA from 1 species
UACGUAGGGUGCGAGCGUUGUCCGGAUUUAUUGGGCGUAAAGAGCUCGUAGGUGGCUUGUCACGUCGGGUGUGAAAGCUUGGGGCUUAACUCCAGGUCUGCAUUCGAUACGGGCUGGCUAGAGGCUGGUAGGGGCAAGCGGAAUUCCUGGUGUAGCGGUGAAAUGCGCAGAUAUCAGGAGGAACACCGGUGGCGAAGGCGGCUUGCUGGGCCAGUUCUGACGCUGGAGGCGCGAAAGUUAGGGUAGCAAACAGG